rnacentral:rRNA from 1 species
CCUACGGGAGGCUGCAGUGGGGAAUAUUGGGCAAUGGGCGCAAGCCUGACCCAGCAACGCCGCGUGAAGGAAGAAGGCUUUCGGGUUGUAAACUUCUUUUCUCAGGGACGAAGCAAGUGACGGUACCUGCGGAAUAAGCCACGGCUAACUACGUGCGAGCAGCCGCGGUAAUACGUAGGGGGCAAGCGUUAUCCGGAUUUACUGGGUGUAAAGGGCGUGUAGGCGGGAAAGUAAGUCAGAUGUGAAAACCAUGGGCUCAACCUGUGGCCUGCAUUUGAAACUGUUUUUCUUGAGUACUGGAGAGGCAGACGGAAUUCCUAGUGUAGCGGUGAAAUGCGUAGAUAUUAGGAGGAACACCAGUGGCGAAGGCGGUCUGCUGGACAGCAACUGACGCUGAGGCGCGAAAGCGUGGGGAGCAAACAGGAUUAGAUACCCUAGUAGUC